CACUUGAACCCAGGAGCUGGAGGUUGCAGUGAGGCAAGAUCAGGCUACUGCACUCCAGCCUGGGUGACAGAGCGAGACUUCGUCCCAGAAAAAGAAAAAAAAAAAAAAAGGUUAUGCUAAAAUCAAAAUAAGUUGGGAAGUAUUUCUUAUUUUCUUCUUCCCUGGAAGAGUUUAUGUAAAUUAAUGCUGUUUGUUUCUUAAACAUUUGGGGGACAAUUAUUUUGAUGAAAUGCAUUAGAACUAGUUUUGUGGACCAUGUUUUGGAAAACAAUGGUCUAGAGCAUGACUGAAAUACGAAAUAGUGAAUUCCUGUCUGUGUGAAUGCUCUUGUUUUUAUUCAUUUCCUUCCUUUAUGCAGCACUGGCCCCCUCACCUUUUCCUUUCCAGCUGUUUGGGGCUCAGCUAAGUGACCACACAGGAGAGCAGUGAGGCCAUCUGAGGCCUGAGCCUGGUCCUCAGGACUCGACUCUCUCUCCCUGCCAUCAAGCAGCCUGCCCCAGCCCUGCUAGCCAUCUCCACACUCCUCUGACAGGAUGAAUGCCCUCGAUGGUGUUCCCUUCAGGUUGCCCAAGGGCUUUGUGAUAGGCACAGAGCCUCUCCCUGGGCCAGAACUCAGCGUCCCAGCCUGCGGGGAGGUUCUGCUGGGUUCUAUGCACGACUUCAGCCUGGAGAGGAUGGCACUCUUCUGGGUGGAGGCCGCCGGCCAGGGACCCAGCCCGUACCAGUGCGGUGACCCGGGGACAGCGUCAGCCCCUCCAGCCUGGCUCUUGCUAGUCAGCCCCGAACAUGGGCUGGCGCCUGCGCCUACCACAAUCAGAGACCCGGAGGCCGGACACCAGGAGAGGCCGGAGGAGGAGGGCGAGGACGAGGCAGAAGCCUCCCCUGGCAGCGAGGAAGAGCCGGCCCCCAGCAGCCUCCAACCGGGCUCCCUGGCGAGCCCGAGCCCCAGCCCCGGCCCCGGCCGUCGCCUGUGCUCGCUGGAAGUGCUGCGCGGCGUACGGUCGGAGCUGGCAGGGGCGCGGCGGCGGCUCUCCGAGGGGAAGCUGGUCGCCCGGCCCCGCGCCCUCCUGCACGGCCUCCGCGGCCACCGCGCGCUGAGCCUGUGCCCGAGCCCCGCGCCCUCCUCCAGGUCCGCAUCACCCCCAGGGCCCGCGCCCCAGCACCCCGCCGCCCCCGCGUCGCCCCCGCGGCCCUCCACGGCAGGCGCCAUCCCCCCGCUGCGGAGCCACAAGCCCACGGUCGCGUCCCUCAGCCCGUACACCUGUCUGCCACCUCUUGGGGGGGCACCGCAGCCUCUCAACCCCCACAAGCCACACCCUGAUACUGCGGCUGACCUGCUGUCCGCCUUGAGCCAGGAGGAGCAAGACCUCAUUGGGCCAGUGGUCGCCCUGGGAUAUCCCCUGCGAAGGGCCAUCAUAGCUCUGCAGAAGACAGGGAGGCAGAGCCUGAGCCAGAGUUCACUCUAUUGGAAGUAUGGCGGAGACUCAUGAUGACACUCCAAGGACAGCACUCUGAACCACGCUACUAUUUGGAAGCAGGUCUUGACCCCUGAUACAAGCCAAGAAUGUAAGAGCACCUGCAGAGGAGUGAGGGCCCCCAAAGUGCCUAAAAAGAGGUGCUAAUGGCAAGAUACCUGGGAGAAGAAGUGGUAUGAGUGUUAUAGGGGUGUUUCUGUCAUCUGUUUCUGUGUAACAAACUACCCCGAAACUUAGUGGCUUGAGACAACCAUUUAUUUGCUUACGAUUCUCUGGAUUGGCAGUUUUAAGAUGGACUCAGCUAGGGGGUUCUUCUGCUCAUCUCACCUGCAGUCUCACAUGGCUACAGUUUGGUGACUUACUUGGGGCUGAAUAAUCUAAGAUAGCCUCAUUCACUGUACAGUGGGUGGUGAUAUUUGUCAGCUGGGCCACAUAUCUCCAGCAAGCCACCCUACUUGGUUCCAAGAAUAAGGCUUCUUGAGGCCUCUUGAGGCCUUGGCUGAAAUUGUACAUAGUCACUUCUGCCUCAUUCUAUUGGUCAAAGCAUGUUGUUGACCCCUCCAGACUUACACAGGGGAAAAACAGAUUACACCUCUUGGUGGGAGAGGCUGCAAAAAAUUUUAUGAUCAUUCUCAAUCUACCACAAGGAGGUUCCAGUGAUCAAGAAAGGCUUCAUGGAGAUACCAAGCAUUGAGCGGGACUUCAAGGAUGGAUAAGAUCUGACGCUGAAGGAAGGAGAAGGGGUGAUAUUCCAGGAGGGAAGGACAGUGUGAAUAAAGGAGUGGAGGUGGGAAGGAAGUGUUUGGGAGGCCCUGAUCUGACCAGUCUUGUUGGAGGAGAGGGUACAUGAGGCAGGCUGGUAGGAGAUGAGAAAAAGAGAAUUGGGGGUAGAUUUAGGGGUCUUGAAGGCUGGCCUGAGAAUUUGAUAAAUGACCCAAUAGGCAAAAGGAGGCAUGGAAGGAUUGUAAGUAGGGUCAGGAGGUGACAUUGAAUGCCAUUGCCUACACCCCCGUGUCCCCACCUGAAAGUAACAUCCCUCGUUGUGUGGUUUUCUAAACGUCGGGACUCUUCAUGGUUUGAUGGCUGGUCCCAGGGAAGUUGGCACUUUUCAUUUUUCUCCCAUUCCUGCCCCACCACCAUCAGAAGGCUUGGACACCUCCAUCAUCACUGAUGAGUACUGAAUGUUGGGUCCCUGCGGUCCAGAGCUGCCUGCUCCUGCCAGAGGGAAUGGCAGAACGGAAGUGACUUUCAAACGGGAGCCGGGGUGGGGCUGGGCAAAUGCACCUGGUCCCCUUGCCCACCCACUCCUGCUUCUACUCUACUCUGGGUUCAUCAGUUCAUGCCCUGUCCUGGAGGAGAAUUUCCAACACAGUGACCCCCAUGUGGCUAAAAUGGCAGGGAGGGGUGCUAACAUUUAUUGAACAUUUUCUUGCAUGAAUCUCUCUCUCUGAGGGUAUUCAGUUAGGUCUCAAUUCUGCAAGGUUGCUAUUACAUUAUGACCACUUUGCAGAUGAGGAAACUGAGGCCAGGGAAGUUCAUACAGCCAGUCAAUGACAGCACUGGGGUUGAGGCCAGCUGGUCUGACUCUGCAUCUUGGUUGCACAAUGCCUUUUAUCUCAUUUUCUGUGUGAAAACCUCCUAGGACAGCACCACAGGCUGAUCUGAGAUUUAAGAGCAGAUCUAAAGUCACGCCUACCUUUGGAUGAUACUGAAAAGCCAGAGACCUGGCCAAAAAGCUGGUCAGGAGGGCUGUGAGGGGCCGGGUGCACAGUGGGGCUCUGACAUGCCUCCCCAGUCCCUUUAGGCCCUGUGGCAAGGCUGAGGUCUCAGGCCAUCACUCUGGGGGUCUGAAGAUGAGUCAGAGCCAGCCUGGGGCCCUGGCCUCCCAGUGGGUGAGCUGGAAAGAUUUCACUGCAUUGGGAACAUUGUGUUUCCAGAUAUAGACUGGCCACCUGCCUGGCCCCCUGGAUCUCUGGGUGGCCUUCCCUGGUGGGCAGUCAGGAGCCAGGCCCCAAGGGGUGGGUCUGAGGGGCCUUUGGAUGACUUCAUCUAUCCUCCCCGACCGAGUUAGUAUUUCUGUCUGUUCUGUGAAGUCAUGGUAACUGAACAAGCCCUUUGGGUUCAGAUUCCUUCUCCCACUGAAAGCCGCAUAUUGCAGUAAAUCCUUUUUGGCCAAGAUAAAUGACAGGUGGCCUAGGAGGAAGGGCAUCAGGUGAUAGAGACAGAGCAGCUAGAAGAGUCAGGGAGAGAAGAAGAUACAAAAGAAAUUGUGCAGCACUCCUUUCCUUCCACAAGGCUUGAUGUGCCCACACUGCCUCCCUGCAGGGCAGGCACGGGUGCCACGUGUGAGGGUCCACAGGCCAGGCCCCCUCUUUUAGCCUCAGUUUCCCAGUUCACAGGGUGGAGGAGGAAUACGUGUUUGGAACCAGUGACUUCCGGGGGCCCCCUCCUGUGGCCUGAAGGUGACAUCCUCACCCACCUGGGGGCCUGAAGCAAGCCUGAUAGCUUCUACAGUCCUGCAGGCCCAAAAGCUAACCAAGCAGCAGAACCUUUGCAAAUGCAGACUCUCAGGGCUUAUCCUGCAGGGCCCUAGUUAGUGGAUCUGGGGUGGACCCAGGGGCCUUUAAUUUUAGAAAAUUUGCAGAUGGGUCUGAUAUUCACUGUGGCAUAGUAUAGAUCAAGGUCAGCUGUCCCCAUUCACUGAUUCUUAGUCUUGGGUGCACAUUAGAAUCACCUGGAGGGCUAUAGGGAAAAAAUUCCAAUGCUCAGGCUACACCCCAGACCAUUUAUAUCAUAACCUCUGAAGGUGAGGCCCAGACAUCAGUAAUGUUUAAAGUUCCUCAGGUGGUUGCAAUAAGCACUGAGACUGAGAACCAUUGCUAUGGAUGAGCCAGAAGGUGGAGGCAGCGUCCACCAUCCAUCCUUGCCUGCCCUCCUUCUGAAGGUGAAGCUUUCACCUUUGGAAACCCUGUCCUCCACCAAGACAGCUCAAAGCCCCUCCUCUAGCAGCUGAUCCCUCUGAUGGACAAGGCAUUAAGUGACAGGUUACAUAAUCGGGGACCUAGUCCUGGGACCCUGGACAAGGCACCUGCCUUGCCUGAACCUCAGUUUCCUCAACUGUGGAAGGAGGGCAUGGGUGCAUGGUUUUCAAAACGUGCUCAGAGCAGGUCUAGCUGUACUGGGCAGUACCUCAGGCAGGAGCACUGGACUCCGGGCCCCCAUGCCCCUGGCCCUGGUUCUCCCAGAGCAGCUCUAAUCUUAGCCUGUUAUUGCUGAAGCCUCCUUGUGCUAAGACAAACACUUCAAGAGCCAAAAACAAUUUGAAAACGGUUAGUCUAGAUGAUCUGCACUUUCAUCCCAGCUCUGAAGGUCUACGGAAACCCCACUCUCCCUUCUCCACAUAUACUCAUAAUUCCUGUAGUCUGGAGCCUUCAUUUGGCACCUACACCCUAUAAAUCCUGCUUUGAUUUGCCUGGCACUGAUGUGGUCCUGUAUCUGGUUUAUCUCCUCCACUAAGCUGUGAGUUCCUUGAAGGCAGGUCUUCAUUCGUUUUAUAAACACAGCACACAUUUAUUGAGCUCCUUCUGCCACCAUGCUGGAUGCUGGGGACACUGUGGUGAAUGAGACUGACGCAGCCCCUCCCUGAUGGAGCAAUAACUUCGUGGAUGAGAAAGAUUGAGUGAAGCAAUUACAAAGUUAUAUGUGCUGUAAUAGGGAAGCAUAGGGUGCUAUGGGGGCACGAGGGACAGCACCCAGGAAGACAGAGGGGGCAGGAAGCUUCCCAGGGACAGGGAAGGAGGCCAGCCUUGGCUGAGGGAGCUGCCUCUGCAGAGACCUGGAGGGUGAGGGAGGGGCCAAGGCCAUAGACAGGGAGCAGGCCUUUGAGCCCUGCCUGGUAAGGAGCCAGCAUUUUAUCCUGGGCCCCUGAUGACGUAACCGUGGAGUGAUCUGAACAGUUUUUCCUGCCUGUGGAAUCCUCCUCUUUGCCUACCCCGCACCCCUUCUCCAGCACUGGUGCAGGAGUUGCAUAGUAGUGGCUCAGGAGUCCUGGAUGAGAGAGAUGUGUCUGGGGGUACAGUAGGGGUGCACAAGUGUGGAUGGAUGAGGAGGCACCUUCACACUAAUGGGCACAUUCACACGAAUGCUCCUGGACAGGGGUGGGUGGUGCAUGAAUGUUGAAUUGCGUUGGGUGGUAGGUGGGAUGUCUGUGUUUGAAGCCUGUCCUGCUCCCCACCUAGGUUCUAUGAACACCCUAGCCCACCCUGACAGCCCUUUUCCUGGAGUCCAGCCCCCAACUUGGCAUAGUUGGUGAAGACCCAUUGUCUGCCUGUCCCCAGGCACUCAGAGAAAGCCUCUAUCCCCCUUCUGUGGGUUCACGGGAUCUCUGGGGCCAACUGCAUGUGGUGGCUUGCCCUGUUGCCUGGCCCUCAGCUCAGGCCCUUGGAGUGCCUCUCUGCCCUGUCUGCUGCCCCGGCUGCUCCUCUUACCCUCCUUCCCUCUCUGCCUGCUUCCGGCCCAGUUUCUCAGCUACCUCAGUGCCUGUGACCGCCUGUUACGUCAGGGAUAUGAGGAAGGCCUGGUGGACGAGGCCAUGGAGAUGUUCCAGUUCUCCGAGAGCCAGGCAGGGGAGUUCCUGCGCCUCUGGGAGCAG